CUAGCUGAGGAGGGGAGGCAUGAGGGGGAAGAGAAAAAUAUAACACAGGAAGUAUUUUUCUCCUCCUCCAAUCAUUAAGACACCCCAGGGGAAACAGGCGUAAUGUGUCACCUUUAGAGAUGUGGUUUGAUCUGAAACCUGUCUGAGGGGGAAAACCUUUUUAAGUGACCCUGAACACCGGCUCACGCUGCACUGAGGACCCACCCACCUUAUCAGGCCUCCAAGUCCGUUCUGUUUAACUUCUGAACUAGGUAUUCUCACUUAACUCGUCAUUCCCCAACCCCCCGAAACCACCACACCCCCCCUUAAAAAAAAAAAAAAAAAAAAGAGGUUGGGUUUCCCCGGCUCAAGGAAAACGCUCCGUCGUACUGUCCACCAAUCCCCCACGUCCAGGGCUCAAGUGGCCAUCCCUGAUUUGCGGAAUCAGCAUCGGGCCAAGCCGUGGUUUAGACACCCGGUUCACAAUGAUCAAUGGAGCUAUGGAAACAGCAGACAUCGCGCCGGAGCCUGCUGGCCUCCCAUCUGGAGCCUCACAGACACUGAAGGAUCCGACACAAAAGGAGCCAAUAAGAAAUGGAAAUGGAGUCAAAGAAGAGGAAGUCGUUUCUCGAGAUGCAUCUGUGAGAAUGUCUGGCAGGUGGAAGGGAGGGAACGAGCAUCAUUGAACUUCUACUACUCUCUGUCUCUGCUACAGCACCUCAUAUGCACUGCCUCGCUCAAGCCUCGUACCAUGAGGUUGUUCAUAUCAUGGACGACUGCGGCUGCUCUCUGUGUGGUGAGCUAUGGUGCUCUACAGACCGGUCACCUCCGACACGACUGAAGACCCGAAGGGACACGUGCUCUGGUGGCUCCCAUCUGCUUCAGAGAAGGACCGAGCCUUGAUUCUCAGAGGAGCAAAAGCGUAUGCAGGCAGUCUGCAACAAUCAUUGCCACUUUUCCACUUCCAUGUUGGUGACAUCAGGUAACAGAUACAUGGGACAUAAUUAAAAAUAAACGAGAAAAAGGUUUCCAUGGUUCACGAAAGCAGUAGGAGUAUUGUGAGGAAAGCUUAGAAGCAUUUAUCUGCUGCUACCCAAAAUUUAGCAUUUGACUUUAAUUAUGCCUCCUUAGGAAUUAAGCAAAGCAGAAAAUGUUUCAACACGACCAGCUGCUGCAGAUCCAAACUGUUUCACGGGUGAACUUUUUAUUUCAUCUUUUCUGUUGCUUUUUCAUCAUGCAAUAAACCCCACUCGUAACAGAUUAAAGGUCAUAAAAAUCAUAAUGACAUUAGCCAGCUAACCCAUUUUUCCCAAACCCUCUUAAAACACCUAGGACCAAAGCAUGCUACUAUAGUCAUAAACCAGAGUCGUCUGGGGAAGAGGCAGGCCCCACCCUCUCCUCUUUCAGAGUCCCUGUGGGUCAGAAGCCGAGUCUUUAUGCCGUAGUUAAGGUUAUGGCUGCGUUUUUCAUACAUAUUACCAAGGUGUCAAAUACUGGGCCAGAAGGAGGUGCCCUCGCAUAACCCUUCUCCGGUUACCCCUGCUCAAAGAGGAGAGAUUGGAGAGUGCGGGUUCACUUAAAAGACAAGAGGUGAGCACAUUCCUGGCACACAGAGGGAGAUGGACCUCUGUCACCUGCGCGUGACAGAUAGCAUUACAACUGGCUCAUUUAGAGCAUUAGGAAGACGUGGGCCUGCCCAUUUGAAGCUUCCGUUCCAACAAAGGAGAGCUCAUGAUGGCAUAUGAUGAAUGCACAGAUCACUCACCGUGAGGGCAGAAGGUAGGAAAGAGUCUAAUACGAUGAGCAGGUUAUUAGCUGGGUUAGCCAAUUUCCCAUGUUGAAAGAAAAAAAAAAUGACUUCAGGAAAUGAAAUAAAACAGAAAUUCCUACCCUACUCUUUCCACGGCGUCAAUAGCAAUUUGGAAACGGAGUUGAGUUUUGCCAAUUUAAAACACAGUAGAAGUCAACCGACUUGGCCUGUUUAAUGGAAAUGACCAGAAGAACGAACAUGGCUGAAGAGCCAUCCAGUAACCGUCAGUCAGACAGCCUGAAUCUCUGCACUAACUCUGAUCCAGUUUAGUCACUCACUGCUGUGGGCAGGGAUCCAAGAAAAAAAUUUCACAGGGGCCGAAAGAAGGGGGCCCAGGGUAACAGCCUCUAAAAAUGACAACUUGCCCCGAAGCUUGAAACCGACUCAAACCUCCCCAGAUCCAUCUGGCACAACCAGCACAUCUGACAGCAGCCCACGGUCUCCAAACGUGAAUCGGCUGCAGAGGACUGGCACGCCAGCCUGAAUGACUCUGCUCCGCGUCACUCGCUAGAUUGCCAAACUUAGGCACGAGCGCAUCCAUCCACCUUCCCAGAGCCUUCUAGAAUCUGUCUCCGGUGUCACGGGUUGCCUACCGCCUGUCACUUGGCCUGCUUUCAGGAACCCGAACGUCCACUCAGUGCACAGAAACAGACCACACGUCCACCUCAGCCACAGGCUCGUCUCUCCCGUCACGGAUGGCGCGGGCUGACCCAGGAGACCUGGCACUAAAACACCAACACCGAAAUCCAGGGGCAGCCCGUGUGUUUGGGGUGGCAGUCCUCGAGACACUGUUUGCUUAGAAGAGCAGGCCUUCCACGCUGAUAACAACGGGCAUAACCGCCUCAACCCGUGCUGGGCCGAGAUAACACAGGGGAUCCUUACGCAACUGCUCCGUCAGGUGGCGAGUGCAGCCGGAGCUGGAGGGGCCUAACGGAGGCGCGUGUUCCAUUGCCUUCUGUAAACCAGGAGGGAAGGAAGCCAUUCAAGUUUUACACAGUGCACCAGGAGCACCGGCACGUCCCCUUUCUAGGAGGCGGAGGCCUCAGUCUGAACUGGGCCGGGGGAGGGGGGUGCUAAGGGCACGCUCUGGACAUUGCUUCAUUCUGUUUGCACAGCCUGUGCUGUGGCAAUCAGAGUGCUUUUGGAUAAGGCAAACGUUCCUUAAAUGAUAUGCCCUUGGCAUGUUUUUCCUUCUGGUUACCGUGUUGCCCAGCGAGCUUAUGAUCUCCUUCUGAUCUCACGGCGCUUGCAGGAGACUAAGUUCUACAGUAAAAAUGGAACUGGGUCACCCUGAGAAUGGUGGUGAAGAAAGCAACGGUCUACUUUACAGAGCACACUUGGGGGGCAGAGUUCAGGCGCACCCCUGGAGGAGAGUGGCAGGAGAGGGCAACAAAACAGUAGCACUCAGGUAUUCAGGCACCGUGCCUUCCCCAGCCUUCCGAGAGACAUUUGGCUAGCAGUUAGCUUUACUGCCAGUCCUCACUGUUUAAAUCUUAGCAGAGAAAACGAAAGGAUGUUGAAGUGAAGGGAAAGGAAACGGGUUACCCCCGAGUUUUCUGGAUUUUCUUGUAACCGAAGUGCGCUUAGAAUCUAGGGAGCGGUCUUCAGUUUAAGCAACUAAAAAGUAGGGUAAACUGUGGCACACUGAGGUGGCAGAGAGCGGGGAGAGAGGAGGGGAAGCAGCAAACUA